CUCAGUUCCAAGUCCUACUGCUAUAAUCAUUUUAACAGCAUGUUCUUACGGAGUGAGGACUCAAAAGAUAACAGAUUAUUCUCUGGGGUUAUUUAAAGCCUUUGGCUUAUAUCUAAAAGGGACACUGAAUUCUUAAACCUAGCAGCACUAAUAAAUUCCUAAAAAUGAAAGGAUAUUGGAGUCUACUGGAAGUGAAAUAAUGGAGUUUAUUUUGGCUGACUUCUCUGAGAGGGUGAGGUGAUUAGUACAGACAACGUACCAGAACAUGCAAGAUGUCUUGCUUUCUCCAGAGCCUGAGGAGUCAUGGGGUGAACCAGACCCCGCUAAGAAAGCCUUUACAUGAGCAAAGAGAAGAGGGAGAAGACAGAACCCAAACAUAAACUGAAUGCCCUGGUUCCCUUACGAUUUCAUCCAGGAUGGGUCUAAUACCACAUGGAGCAGAAUGCUUUUGGAAUGGUACAGCAACACUCAACAACAUGCAAUGCUGUCGAAAGGCACAAAGAAAAGUCUAGGGCAUGGAAGCCCCAGGAGUGAGUCCCACUGAGCGCCUGGCUGCUGAUGGGUAAAACACUCUUCAGUGCUCACUGCGACUGCAGGCAUCCAGUGCGCAGCAGAGACUGAGAGCAGCGCGGGGCUGUCGGGAUCUCAAGGCCCUAGGGGUAAGGUGCAGGACUAGCCCAUAGCCGAGUAGCUACACAUUCAGGAGCACCAAGCGCCCAGCUACUGCACCUAU